rnacentral:lncRNA from 1 species
UGCCACCUCUCUGAGUUGCUGUGAGGCUCAAGAUGAGGGAGUUUCCUUAACUCCUGUGGCCCAUAGAAAUGAGAGAAGUCAGCCAAGGGCCUUGCCCAAGAGAGGUGCCAAACGAACGAAGUUGAGCCUGAUCGCCUCAGGAGAGCAGAACGACUCGUCAACAAGCCAGUCAGGUCUCUAGAAACCCUUCCAUUAUCAAAAGUACUUCCAGAAGAAUGUAAGCUCCAUGAGGACAGAGUUCGGUGUCCAUUUUUUGGUUGUUCAUUCCUCUGUCCCCAGUGC